AAAACUGUCAAACAUCUUAUUGCCUUACUGGUGCUCUUCUUAGGACUGCUUUAUUCUUCUAUCUGUACAACUACUCCCUUCUUUUUUCUGACUCAAGCCCGCAGAGUAUAGAAAGGCUAAAUUGCUUAUUUUCCUUAUGAAGUAAAAGAGUGAAGAAUUUUUCAACACAUUGGGAUGCAAACAAAACUGCUCCUCUGCUUUGACUCUCCCUGUGAACGAAGUCAUACAUGUGUCCACACCAAGGUACUCGCCCAGGGCAAUCAUCAUUUUUGGAGAUAUUAUUCUAGAGAAAAGGAGAGAAAAGUUAUGAUUCUUUACAACUCUUAAAGUCACCAAAGGGACUAC